UUGAAGCGACUUCGCCUGUUUCUGGUUGUGUUUAUUAGUUUUCGGGGUUUGAGGCCAUAAUUCUAGAAAACUUUUAUGUUACGCGCUGAAAUAUCAAGCCUACAUCUUGGCUUGUAUUUUUGAGAUUUAAAAGUCGAGUUUUACAUCAGAUGUAGUAGUUAAAUUGAGGUCGGAACAUGGAAGGCGAAAUACUCGAAAAGGUCUUGUCUGGUCUCCAGAAAGGGCAGCCGUACUGCCUCAUUUGUUUCAAAACUUCAAACGAAACCCGCCUUGUUGUACCUAAAUAUCUACAGCAGUUCGCCAAAAACUUUAACAUAAACAUAUUCUCUAUACAACCAACGCUUAUAGAGAAGACCAUGCUAGCGUGCUACAUGUGCGAGGCCCGGGCGGGAGCCGCAGUCAAAUUCUACGCGGCAGUCCAGACCGCUGUGUCUGCUCGGUUGAUGCUUAACCGGCAUGCUAGUCACAAUAUGACGCUGGCAAAACCUAAAGACGUUGUAAUUAGUAUGUGUAACAAGAAGCUACAUGAAUACCAAACAAAGAGCACCCUGCGUCAAACAGAGGUGCUAAUUGUCGACAGCAACGCGGGCCAGUGGACGUCUAAGCGGAGCAUCCUUCCUUCAGCGUCUGAAGUUGCGAAAGAAGGCUCUUUAAUUGUGCCACAAAACAAAGAUGUGGAAACCGUAGUUUUAGACGACGACGAAGAUGAGCCUGAAUCACCAAAACUGGAAGCAGAGCAGCCCUUAGCUGAAAUAGUUCUUCUCAAGCGAUUCGUACGCAACAGUACCUCAGCCACGCCACGCAAAAUCCUACCCAAAAUAGUGUCACUGGACGAAUUGUUAGCAAACAAAAGCUCAAAAUACGCUGCCAUAGUCCCGAACCAUGACCAGAUAAUUUGCAGAAACCCUGAAAACCAAGACGCUUAUAUCUUGCAUCCUUUGUCUAUAGAUGACGAAGGAAACACUUCCGUAAGUACACUUUCUGCUUUGCUGGUCAACGGACAGCUGGUCCAUGAUACCAGACCAAAAUAUACUACAGAAAGCUGUGUGAUGCUUGAGAAUAAAACUGUCUUGAGCGAAAAGCGACUUAACACAGCCAAAGACACUGUUAACAGUGUUGAAAACGAUAAAAUUCAAAAUGGCGUUAAGGAGGCGCCGUUAAGAGUCAAUAGGUUAUUGCAAGACCUCCUCGCUUCAAAAAGUAGCGGAGACACGGAGGAUUUCGACAACGUUAUAGACAGAUUAUUACAAGAAAAAUUGGAGUCUUUCACGAGUAAAAACAACAGUAACAAGAGAUCGAAGGAAAUUGUAAUGGAGACAAUGAAAAGACAAAAAACUUCAACGAACAAAAGUAUUUUGAAUGAAGAAUACUAUCAGUUGCCGAAGUUGGCCGCUAAGGCAGUUGUGUUUGACAUGAACGCGGAGAUUAGACCGCCCCCGUUGGCGAGGCUGACAAAAGUGUACGAUCCCCAACUGCCUGUAGGGCCCCUGAUAACUAGCGUAAGGUCUGAAGUGGCCGCGCCGCCGCAGAAGACCGGGAAGGUCGAUUGGGAGGACAAAAUACCUAUGGAUUUAAUAUCUUAUGCGGGUCCUAAAAAAGUGUUCAUAGGCCCUACAAACAAAGACAUUGGAAUACAGACCCAACACAUGGCCGGCCAAGUGGAACAGACAACUAGCAGUCACCAAGCGGACCCCAAUAUAAUAGACCUUUGUUAAUAACAAUUAAGGUCUAUACAAACUGGAGCUGGGUACGUUCAUAACCGGCUGUAUGUAUAGACCUUUAUCAAACCGAAUUUGGUAAAAACCAAACCAAAUUUUGGCCAUGAGGUACAGUCAUGAGCAAUAUGAUAUACCCACUUUAGGACUCUGUCGCACUAACACAUUUGACAUUUAGUGAGACUUACAGUUCAGUUUGUCAAAAAAGUUAAUGUGACGUGGUACCAAAGUGUAUACAUAUUAAUGCUCGUGACCGUACACAGACAAGGGCGUGGUUGGCGCCCUUUUUUAAUUUUAUAUAUUAUUACUCUUAUUUCGCCAUGCAGUCACUAGAUGUCGCUAACCGUAUAAGCUUACAUAUGUAAAUCAGCGCCAUCUAGUGACCAUGUAUCGUAUCAUUAUGAACACGACUGUACAGUCAUGAGCAAUAUAAUGUACCCACUUUAGGACUCUGUCGCACUAAGAUAUUUCACAUUUAGUGAGACUUACAGUUCAAUUUGUCAUAAAGUACAUAUUAAUGCUCGUGACCGUACAUGAUUCCAGCGGACAUCUCCUAAUUUCGUUAUACCUGUCAUUUUCUUAUCCGCCGAAAAGGAAAGGGACAGAUGAUUGACAACUCUUAAUUUUAAAAUGAAUGGAUAAUCCGGGCGAAUUAAAUAGCCAUGUCGCUGGUAUGCAAACCGUUUUACGUGUGUUAUUAACUUAAAUAAAGAUCAUAGAAGGAAAGCUACAAGCAAAGAGAGGAAUUGGAAGACCAAAAAGAGCUUACAUGGAGCAGAUUAAACAGAAGGCGAACGUCGUGUCUUAUAAGGAAGUGAAAGAAUUGGCCUUUGAUAGACAAGAAUGGAGAAUGCUACACCGACAAGAGCGUGGCUCUUUGUGAUUAAAUACCAUACGUCCCUUUCGUAACCAAAGUUUCAUAACUAGUUAUAAAAAAUAAUUUUCUUCGCUGUUUGUUUCUGGAGGUCCGGGUUCGAUUCCCGAUGGGGACAUUGUCGAAAUCACUUUGUGAGACUGUCCUUUGUUUGGUAAGGACUUUUCAGGCUUGAAUCGCCUGAUUGUCCGAAAAAGUAAGAUGAUUCCGUGCUGGAGGGCACGUUA
rnacentral:misc_RNA from 1 species